rnacentral:rRNA from 1 species
AACGGAGGAGCACGAAGGUGGGCUAAUCACGGUUGGACAUCGUGAGGUUAGUGCAAUGGCAUAAGCCCGCUUGACUGCGAGAAUGACAAUUCGAGCAGGUGCGAAAGCAGGUCAUAGUGAUCCGGUGGUUCUGAAUGGAAGGGCCAUCGCUCAACGGAUAAAAGGUACUCCGGGGAUAACAGGCUGAUACCGCCCAAGAGUUCAUAUCGACGGCGGUGUUUGGCACCUCGAUGUCGGCUCAUCACAUCCUGGGGCUGAAGUCGGUCCCAAGGGUAUGGCUGUUCGCCAUUUAAAGUGGUACGCGAGCUGGGUUUAGAACGUCGUGAGACAGUUCGGUCCCUAUCUGCCGUGGGCGUUGGAAGAUUGAAGGGGGCUGCUCCUAGUACGAGAGGACCGGAGUGGACGAACCUCUGGUGUUCGGGUUGUGUCGCCAGACGCAUUGCCCGGUAGCUAAGUUCGGAAUCGAUAACCGCUGAAAGCAUCUAAGCGGGAAGCGAGCCCUGAGAUGAGUCUUCCCUGAUACUUUAAGUAUCCUAAAGGGUUGUCGGAGACUACGACGUUGAUAGGUCAGGUGUGUAAGUGCUGUGAGGCAUUGAGCUAACUGAUACUAAUUGCCCGUGAGGCUUAACCAUACAACACCCAAGGGGUUU